GCUACGGUUGAACUGUUGUUUGCCCAAAGACCCACGCGGCCAUGCCCAUAACAGCUUGUGUUACUAUUUUCUUACCCAGGUGAAUCCGUGAAUGACGAUGCCAGUCAGGAAACUUCCUAGUGCCACCCAAUCCGAUGCUAUGAAAUGAUGCCAGUGGCAUUGUAGUUUGCCAAUCGGGCCACAACUGAUCUGCAUCACUAUCCACUCGGAUAAUGACCCCUCUGCAGCUACCUAUGGAGCGCAGAUGUAG
rnacentral:lncRNA from 1 species